rnacentral:lncRNA from 1 species
AGUCCUUCGCCGUCCCUCGCCGUCCUUCGCCAUCGCACGCCACCGCACCCCAUCUCUCGAAAUCUGCAGACAUCUUGAUUUUUCCCACGCUGUCUGUCAGGUCUCCGCCGCCACUCGACGCCAGGGCGCCGGGCCUUGUGGGCUGUGCUGCACCUCGGACGGCUUCGCACCAGCCAGCGCCCUCUCUCUCCUGCAGCACUCUGAUCUGCACCCCCUGAGGGGCUUCCACUGUCCGCGGGGUGAGAAUGCCCCUGGGAGUGUCACAUGACUGCCGCCCCAUGUGUGUGAGAGGCGUCCUCUGGGAGAGCAUGGAUCCUGAGGUCCCAGGAUUGUCAGCUGACCUCUGUCCUGUGUGCCCAGUGGCCCCAGGUGACGUGUCUUCAAGAAGAGGCUGAGCUGCGGUGCUUGUAAGGUCUCAGCCUUAGAUCCAAGGACAGUCCAAGGAAGUCCUAAGACCAUGGAGUUGGUGAUCUGGGAUCUGGGUUUGCUGAUAUUUCUCACCGUGAAUCUCUUGGUGGUGUUUGUGGGCACGAGAGGGGCAGAGAAUGGAGAGUGAGGCUACCACAUGAAGCGUCACCAGAGCUGCUCCCUGCUGCCUGCUCAGAGCACCCCGGAUCCACUGUUCAAUCUGCACAAGAUUCGGGGUCCAGACAUGGGAGACUUCAGCUGCCUCAGAGGACCGUGGACAGGGAAGGCCAGCCUCGCAUCCCUCUGUCCAUGCCUGGAAUGACUUUAAUAACCAAGAGUUUUAUUUUUGAAUUUGUAGCUGUCGUUCACUUUUUACCCACCCAUUCAAUAAACCUUACAGAAUUGCUCCA